rnacentral:pre_miRNA from 1 species
CCCAUACCCAUGUGUGUAUGAUCUCAAAGGAUCACCAUUAAAUUUGACACAUAUCUCUAAAAAAGUUACACAUGAAUGUGGGACUUUAUUUUUUUAGAGAUAUGUGCCAAAUUUAAUAGUGAUCCUUUGAGGUCCUACACACAUGGGUGUGGG